rnacentral:RNase_P_RNA from 1 species
UGCGGAGGGUGAGGUAGCCGCUGCGGACCCGAGCAUGGCUCGGCACCGCAGAGGAAAGUCCGAACACCACAGGGCAGGAUGCCAGGUAACGCCUGGGCCCGUAAGGGACGGAAAGUGCAACAGAAAGUACACCGCCGACUUCCGCAGGCGUCAGCUUGCGGGAGGGCAAGGGUGAAAAGGUGCGGUAAGAGCGCACCAGCGUUCCGGUAACGGAACGGCUCGGCAAACCCCAUCCGGUGCAAGACCAAAUAGGGUUGGAUUCGCCUCCCCCAUGAGGGUAAGAGGCGAGGACGGUGGCCCGCUGUCCGAGGAAGCCCAAAGCGGCAGACCUCGUCCAACCGGGUAGGUCGCUCGAGCCGGGGCGCGAGUCUCGGCCAAGAGGAAUGGCUACCAGCUGGGCAUCAGAGCCCAGUUACAGAAUUCGGCUUAUCGCCUCCGCAGGCC